rnacentral:rRNA from 1 species
UAUACAUGCAAGUCGAGCGAACAGAAGGGAGCUUGCUCCCGGAUGUUAGCGGCGGACGGGUGAGUAACACGUGGGUAACCUGCCUGUAAGACUGGGAUAACUCCGGGAAACCGGAGCUAAUACCGGAUAGUUCCUUGAACCGCAUGGUUCAAGGAUGAAAGACGGUUUCGGCUGUCACUUACAGAUGGACCCGCGGCGCAUUAGCUAGUUGGUGGGGUAAUGGCUCACCAAGGCGACGAUGCGUAGCCGACCUGAGAGGGUGAUCGGCCACACUGGGACUGAGACACGGCCCAGACUCCUACGGGAGGCAGCAGUAGGGAAUCUUCCGCAAUGGACGAAAGUCUGACGGAGCAACGCCGCGUGAGUGAUGAAGGUUUUCGGAUCGUAAAGCUCUGUUGUUAGGGAAGAACAAGUGCGAGAGUAACUGCUCGCACCUUGACGGUACCUAACCAGAAAGCCACGGCUAACUACGUGCCAGCAGCCGCGGUAAUACGUAGGUGGCAAGCGUUGUCCGGAAUUAUUGGGCGUAAAGGGCUCGCAGGCGGUUUCUUAAGUCUGAUGUGAAAGCCCCCGGCUCAACCGGGGAGGGUCAUUGGAAACUGGGAAACUUGAGUGCAGAAGAGGAGAGUGGAAUUCCACGUGUAGCGGUGAAAUGCGUAGAGAUGUGGAGGAACACCAGUGGCGAAGGCGACUCUCUGGUCUGUAACUGACGCUGAGGAGCGAAAGCGUGGGGAGCGAACAGGAUUAGAUACCCUGGUAGUCCACGCCGUAAACGAUGAGUGCUAAGUGUUAGGGGGUUUCCGCCCCUUAGUGCUGCAGCUAACGCAUUAAGCACUCCGCCUGGGGAGUACGGUCGCAAGACUGAAACUCAAAGGAAUUGACGGGGGCCCGCACAAGCGGUGGAGCAUGUGGUUUAAUUCGAAGCAACGCGAAGAACCUUACCAGGUCUUGACAUCCUCUGACAACCCUAGAGAUAGGGCUUUCCCUUCGGGGACAGAGUGACAGGUGGUGCAUGGUUGUCGUCAGCUCGUGUCGUGAGAUGUUGGGUUAAGUCCCGCAACGAGCGCAACCCUUGAUCUUAGUUGCCAGCAUUUAGUUGGGCACUCUAAGGUGACUGCCG